rnacentral:rRNA from 1 species
UACCAGCACCCCGAGUGGUCGGGACGAUUAUUGGGCCUAAAGCAUCCGUAGCCGGUCUUGCAAGUCUUCCGUUAAAUCCACCUGCUUAACAGAUGGGCUGCGGAAGAUACUACAAGACUAGGAGGCGGGAGAGGCAAGCGGUACUCAGUGGGUAGGGGUAAAAUCCUCUGAUCCAUUGAAGACCACCAGUGGCGAAGGCGGCUUGCCAGAACGCGCUCGGACGGUGAGGGAUGAAAGCUGGGGGAGCAAACCGG